UACUGUGAUCUGUAAGUAGUUUAAAGUCGUAUAGAACAUUAGUAGAAUACCACAAGGGUCGGUUUUAGGGUCGAUCCUCUUUUCAGUGUUUUGUAAUGAUCUUCCUGAAGUUAUGCAAGGCGAUGAUGGAGAGAUUGAAAAGUUUGCUGAUGAUACCACCAUAUAUGUGAUUGGACCAAAACCCGAUAGUGUUGCAAGUAUCCUCAAUGAAAUGUUACGGAAAUUGUCAUGGUGGUGUUUGAAGAACUUAUUGACGGUUCACACUGGAAAAACAGAAUAUAUGCUGUUGGGGUGUCCUUGGUUCAUCAGUCCAUUGCCGCAAAUCAAACUUGAUCAGUCUGUCAUUAAAUUGGUUAACACAAAAAUAUGUCUUGGUUAAAAGUGGAUUCCUGUCUCAAAUGGGACGUUCAUGCCUUGGAAGUAGUUGAAUCGUUCAAUAAGAAACUAAACCUGCUUAAAUCGUUUCAUUUUCUACCUCUGCAAGCAAGUUUGGACUUCUAUUUUAAGGUUAUUCUGCCAUCAAUAACUUACGGAAUUUUAAUCUGGGGAUCCGUUGGGAAAACGAUAUUUGACAAUUUGGAAAGAAUUCACAUCAGGGCAGCACGACUAAUCUACCAGUAUGCCUGGGACAAACCUUCGAAAGAAGUUCAAACUCAAACAAACUGGAGGCUACUUAAAUUAUUUUAUAAUUUAAAAUUGUUAAAACUAGUCUUCAAGUAUUACCACAAUUUAUCACCUAUAACGUUCCAACAUAUAUUCACAAAGAGAGAACAACUGUAUAAUUUUAGAAAAACAAUUUUUUUGAAAAUCCCAAAGUUUAAAACAGACUUCAUGAAAAAAUCUGUCGGGUAUCUAGGUGCAAUCCUUUGGAACUCUCUGGAAAAUAGUGAUAGAUCUUUAGAUAGUUAUAUUGCAUUGAAAAAUAAUUUUAUUAAGAAAUUCUAGAUGACUAUAAAUUUAACUUAUUUUAUUAACUAUUAUUUAAUUAGUAUACUCACGACCACUUCAGCUACGCUGUACGAGUAUCGUGUUUAAAUAAAAGC